AUGUGUCCAGGGUCACAAAGCGAGCGAUGGCAGCGACCAGUGGGGAAUGCCAGCCUGUCGUCCAGCCUGCACGCCACCGCCCAUUGGCUGUGCGGCCUCAGCAAAGUCUCCCCACUCAUGGCACGGACCCCACAUUCCUGUGGUAAAGCUCUAGUAAGAGAACAAAAGCAUCCAGAGACUGCAAGUCGGCCACAUACCCGCUAUCUACGACUGGUCGCUCAAGUCGGCCAAGGACGGGGGUCUCUGCUGGACUCGUGAUCCACGGUCCGCUUUCUGGGCAGACGCGGAGGGGGGGGCCCGCUUUCCGUCCCGCCAGGCACUUGCCCCGCUUCGGACGCGGCCGUCCAUUUCCACACUCCCUGCCGCAUGCAGGCCUAGGGCAACCUUGUUCUCCCGCAAGACUGUGCCCAUUUCACAGGCGACGGAACUGAGGUCCAAGUCACGUCUCAGGCGGGGUCUUUAUCAACUGUUCGAACCCGACUUGCCGGCUGCCGCGUGCAGAGGCCCGGCCUGGCCGGCAGCCCGCCCAGCUUCGCCAUGCGGAACCCGGGUUUGGAGUCUAGGUCUCUCGGCCCUUCGCCGAGGUAGGUGAAACUCCCGCUCAAAGACGCCUCAGCCGCCUCGGUCACGUGCGCAGGCGCCCCCUCGGUCACGUGCCCUGAGGCCCCGCGAGGUAACGUGAGCCCUCGGACCAAUCCCCGCGGCCAGGACCGGGAGGCCGUGGGAUUGGCCCAUCCCAGCUGAGAGGGCGGGACUCCUGCCCCGAGACCGGAAGCUUGUCAUCCCUUCCGGAUCCCGCCCGGCAUCCGUGGGAAUCUCGCUCGCUGGCGAGACC
rnacentral:lncRNA from 1 species